rnacentral:rRNA from 1 species
CCAACAGGGGUAAGCGUCACUAACGCGCGAGUGAAGCGGCAAAAGCUCAAAUUUGAAAUCUAGCACCUUCGGUGUUCGAGUUGUAAUUUGAAGAUGGUAACCUUGGGUUUGGCUCUUGUCUAUGUUCCUUGGAACAGGACGUCAUAGAGGGUGAGAAUCCCGUCUGAUGAGAUGCCCAUUCCUAUGUAAGGUGCUAUCGAAGAGUCGAGUUGUUUGGGAAUGCAGCUCUAAGUGGGUGGUAAAUUCCAUCUAAAGCUAAAUAUUGGCGAGAGACCGAUAGCGAACAAGUACAGUGAUGGAAAGAUGAAAAGAACUUUGAAAAGAGAGUGAAAAAGUACGUGAAAUUGUUGAAAGGGAAGGGCAUUAGAUCAGACUUGGUGUUUUACGAUUAUCUUCUCUUCUUGAGUUGUGCACUCGUAUUUCACUGGGCCAGCAUCGAUUCGGAUGGUAAGAUAAUGACAGUUGAACGUGGCUCCAUUCGUGGAGUGUUAUAGCUUCUGUUGAUAUUGCCUGUCUGGAUCGAGGGCUGCGUCUUUUGACUAGGAUGCUGGCGUAAUGAUCUAAUGCCGCCCGCCCUGACCUACAGGACCCCAGAA